UACAUGGGGUGCAAACGUUGCUCGGAAUUAUUGGGCGUAAAGCGCACGUAGGCGGUUCGUUAAGUCGGAUGUGAAAGCCCUCGGCUCAACUGAGGAAGUGCACCCGAAACUGGCGAGCUUGAGUACGAAAGAGGAUCGCGGAAUUCCCGGUGUAGAGGUGAAAUGCGUAGAUAUCUGGAGGAACACCGGUGGCGAAGGCGGCAUCCUGGACCGACACUGACGCUGAUGAGCGAAAGCCAGGGGAGCAAACGGG
rnacentral:rRNA from 1 species